AGUGAACGCUGGCGGCGUGCCUAAUACAUGCAAGUCGAACGGAGUGGCGCACGGGUGAGUAAUGUAUAGCUAAUCUGCCCUACACUAGAGGACAACAGUUGGAAACGGCUGCUAAUACUCCAUAGUGUAGGACGAGGCUAUACUGUAUCAGCUAGUUGGUGAGGUAAUGGCUCACCAAGGGUAUGACGCAUAACUGGUCUGAGAGGAUGAGCAGUAAAACCGGAAGUGAGACACGGUCCAGACACAUACGGCAGUGAGCAGUAGGGAGUAGUGGUCAAGGGGGGAAUGUCAGAAGCAGCAACGGGUCGUGGAGGAUGACACUUGACGAGGCGGAAACUCCUUUUGUUAGGGAAACGGUACCUACCGAAUAAGCACCGGCUAACUCCGUGCCAGCAGCCGCGGUAAUUC
rnacentral:rRNA from 1 species